rnacentral:rRNA from 1 species
UGGUGUCCUAGCUAAAAUGGAACCACACCAAUCCAUCUCGAACUUGGUUGUUAAACGUUUUAGGAGUGACAAUACUGUUGGGGUGACCCUUUGGAAAAAUAACUUGAUGCCAAGAUU